rnacentral:lncRNA from 1 species
CACUCCCAUUAAAGGGCACCAGGCUGCCAAGUAGGGAAGACUGACAUUAGCAUUCCUGAGCUCCCUCCUUCCCUUUGCAGAAUAAUUAACAUAGAUCUCCAAGGGCAGCCAGCAGCCGCCAACACCCAUCAAAUCCUUUCCAUGUGCCCAGUGAGCUCUGUAUACCUACCUCUUAAAUCUCAUUUAAUUAUUGUAAUAACCCUACAAAGUAAGUACUUUUGUUGUCUGGCUUUACCAGGAUGGGUAACUGAGGAUUUGAGAGUGUAAUGUCUCGCUCAAGAUCGCAGAGCUGGAAGUUUCUUCAUAUCCAAGUAUUUUGUUUAGGCCCCAAAGGAUGGUUUGUGGUGGGGCCUCAUCCUGUUCCUUGCAUCUCCAUCAGCCCCCACAAGUGACCUGAAAUCAGCUACAAUCUAAGUCCAAUGGUGUGUGCGUUCACACAGCUUCAAGCAAUUCCCCAGUCAGUAGCUGUACCCCAGACCCUCCUGGUUAGAGAUUCUGAAGCUUUUCUUCACCAUAAGGACCUGUGUGCCUUGAUGGAAUGCCUCCCCAGUUCAGCAUUACAGACGGAUGGCAAUGAGUGGCCAAGGCCCUGUGCUCGCAAGGAGGAAUGGAAAAGAAUGUUGAGAAUGACUCCAGCAAGUCCCAGCAUGGCCCGGACACCAGAUGAAGGCUUGUGGUUGGGUCAGGAGAAGCACUUCCAGAAGUCCUCAGGGCGGCUGAGGAUCAUUCUACACUCCUGCUUUAAUCAUGCUCAGGCCGUCUGAGUCUGCACCUGGAAGAUUAGCCCUAAGCUAACUGCUGCCAAUCCUCCUCUUUGCACUGAGGAACACUGGCCGUGAUCUAACAUCCGUGCCCAUCUUUCUCUACUUUAUAUGUGGGAUGCCUACCACAGCAUGGUUUGCCAAGCAGUGCCAUGUCCACACCCAGGAUCCAAACCGGCGAACACCGGGCCACUGAAGCGGAACGUGCAAACCUAACCUCUGGGCCAUCGGGCCGGCCCCCAUACCAGCUAGUUUUUAUGGAGCGCUAUAGCAGAUGGUGUGGAUGCCUCAUCUCUGACCUCACCUCCAGCCACAGGGAACAGCUUCUGUGCACACUGGAAACUUCUUAUCUUAAGUGUCCAAGUCUCUUUGUUUCUCUUCUUGCAACCAAAAAAGUUUGUUCAGCUCAUGUGCAAGGCUGCUAGAAGUGCUGAAAAUUAAUGCUCUAGGGUCAACUCUUAAGCAACGAGGGCUGAAAGUCAGUGAAUAAAUACGCCGCUUCACCAUCCCUUGGUCGGAUAAUUCUGAAGGAUGCUUCUCAGAGGGUCU